rnacentral:sRNA from 1 species
ACGCUCCGCGACACCGCCGUCGUGGACGCGUCGCGGGGGGGCGCCGCGGCGCCGGGUCCGGCCGGCUUGGCGGCGCGGUCGCGGCGGUGGAUGUUCAUGUGGCCGCCGAGCGCCUGCGCCGUGGUGAACCCGCGCUUGCAGAACACGCACUCGUAGUACGGCCUGGCCGUCGCCGUCGC